ACCAGAUGCUUCUACUCUCUAGGGCUGCCUGGAGCUCUCUGUGUUUAGCGGUGGUUGCCAUGGCAGCAGAGCUGACUCAGGACCAGGUGUCGUGGACCAGGAGCAAAGGGAAAGCCGUCUCCUUCAGAUGUACAAACACAGACCAGUGUUUUACUAAUUAUAUCUACUGGUACCAGAAGAAAGAGGGGGAAACAUUCACCCUGAUUCUUGACAUUGACAGGCGUGAUGGUGCGCUUGAUAAAAGAUACAACCAUCCUCAGGAAGAUGAUUUCUCAUCAGACCUCAAAGAGAACAGCUGGGAGUUGUCGCUUCAGAAGGUGAAAGCGUCGCAUUCUGCCACCUACUACUGUUCCUGUCGGACUAGUGGUGUCACACAGUGAGACGUUCUCCUUCCUGCCCGUACAAAAACUCUGGUGAUCACAUGACCCAGCAGGUCAUCUCUCAUUGGCUGUUCAAUCUACAUUCAGGCGCUAAUGUAAACUGGACAUGAGUGAGAAGAUCUGAAUCAAUCUCUGUUUCACAGUUCGAUCACAGCCUGGACCUUACUGUCUGUAUUCUAAGCUUCAAUCCAAGCCUCUCCUAUACUGUGCAGAGUUAAUAUCAUCACUGAACUUGUUGUUGGUUACGGUGAGGUGGAUCAAACUAAAGAGUAACAGACAGACAUCUGGAGGCUCGGACGGAAAUUAAAGGCUUCAUGCUCACACCUCAAGAAACAAGAUUCUAGUUAAAUACUGAGCUCUGUGGUAGUGAAGCACUCUCUUGAAGUUCUUACA